rnacentral:rRNA from 1 species
CCUACGGGUGGCAGCAGUGAGGAAUAUUGGUCAAUGGACGAGAGUCUGAACCAGCCAAGUAGCGUGAAGGAUGACUGCCCUAUGGGUUGUAAACUUCUUUUAUAUGGGAAUAAAAUGUUCCACGUGUGGGAGUUUGUAUGUACCAUAUGAAUAAGGAUCGGCUAACUCCGUGCCAGCAGCCGCGGUAAUAAGGAGGAUACGAGCGUUAUCCGGAUUUAUUGGGUUUAAAGGGAGCGUAGGUGGAUUGUUAAGUCAGUUGUGAAAGUUUGCGGCACAACCGUAAAAUUGCAGUUGAAACUGGCAGUCUUGAGUACAGUAGAGGUGGGCGGAAUUCGUGGUGUAGCGGUGACAUGCUUAGAUAUCACGAAGAACUCCGAUUGCGAAGGCAGCUCACUGGACUGCAACUGACACUGAGGCUCGAAAGUGUGGGUAUCAAACAGGAUUAGAUACCCGUGUAGUC